CUUGCAAGUGUGAAAGUUGUGUUGACAGUAGCUGCAGGAACUGUCAGGGUGAGGUAGGUAACAUCCCAGAACCGAAUGGAGUAAUUAUCUCGUUACAUUUCUUGAAAACCAACCCACCACAUUCAGUAUAACACUGUAAACAGUAUAAACCUCCAACGAAGCCAUGACAGAGGACCCGAGUGCUCAAACUUGGUCCAUCAACAAGGACGAUUAUGUGCUCAACGAGGUGAUUGGGAGUGGUGCCACGGCUGUGGUGCAGGCGGCCUACUGUGAGCCCAGGAAGGAGAGGGUGGCCAUUAAACGCAUCAACCUGGAGAAGUGUCAGACCAGUAUGGACGAGCUCCUGAAAGAGAUCCAGGCUAUGUCCCAGUGCCACCACCCCAACAUUGUGUCCUACUACACGUCUUUCGUAGUGAAGGACGAGCUGUGGCUGGUGAUGAGGCUACUCAGUGGUGGCUCAGUACUGGACAUCAUUAAACACAUCAUAUCUCGUGGGGAGCAUAAGUCUGGGGUGCUGGAUGAAUCGUCCAUAGCCACCAUCCUAAAAGAGGUCCUGGAAGGACUGGAGUACCUGCAUAAGAAUGGGCAGAUUCACAGGGAUCUGAAGGCUGGUAAUAUUCUUCUCGGGGACGAUGGCUCAGUGCAAAUCGCAGACUUUGGUGUGAGUGCCUUCUUAGCGGCGGGAGGAGAUAUGACCAGAACUAAGGUCAGAAAGACAUUUGUUGGAACGCCAUGUUGGAUGGCCCCAGAGGUCAUGGAGCAGGUCAGAGGUUAUGACUACAAAGCAGAUAUCUGGAGUUUCGGGAUCACAGCCAUCGAGCUGGCUACAGGCGCAGCCCCUUAUCAUAAAUAUCCACCCAUGAAGGUGCUGAUGUUGACCCUGCAGAAUGACCCUCCCUGUUUGGAGACGGGGAUCCAGGACAAGGAGAUGGUGAAGAAGUACGGCAAGUCCUUCAGGAAGAUGAUAUCUCUGUGUCUACAGAAGGAGCCUGAGAAAAGACCAACUGCUGCUGAGCUGCUUAAGCAUAAAUUCUUCACUAAAGCAAAGAAUAAUGAAUACUUGGAAGAGAAGCUCCUUCAGAAAGGUCCAUCGAUAGGAGACAGAUCCAAAAGGGUGCGCCGUGUGCCUGGCUCCAGUGGUCGUCUCCACAAGACAGAAGACGGAGAGUGGGAGUGGAGUGAUGAUGAACUGGAUAUGGAGAGUGAGGAGGGCAAGGCAGCCGUGGCAGCUCUAAGGUCUCCCAGAGUGAGAGAUGGAUCCAUCGAGAUCUUCCUUCCAGAGGAUGGUUCUCCCAGUCCGCUCCGUCCUGGAGGGGAAGGGCACGACAAAGUAGCUGAGGCCACCCUUACACAGGGAGACGCUGUAGCCCAGGACCCUGCCGCCACCAAAGUCCCCAUCAGCCUGGUGUUGAGGUUGAGGUACGCAUCCAGUGGAACUUUAAGAAAGAACUGAACGACAUCCGAUUUGAGUUCAUGCCUGGUAGAGAUUCAUCAGAUGGAGUGUCUCAGGAGUUGGUAUCCGCAGGUCUAGUCGAUGGGAAAGACGUAGUGGUUGUUGCUGCCAACCUGCAGAAGAUUGUUGAUGAUCCUUUCAACAAUAAAAAUGUAACUUUCAAACUGGCAUCUGGCAUAGAUGAGUCGGAGAUCCCUGACGAUGUGAAACUGAUGGGUUUCGCUCAGCUCAGCAUCAGUUAACUCAAUAUUCCGUCAACAAAGGAGAACAAACAGUAUUGCACAGCAGCAUAGUUCUAAAUUCCAAGACACCACUACUGCCAAAGAAGAGAGCCACAGUGCAUUUGUCAACCUGUAGGGUUAUUUUCUUUACUGAAACCUGCAGUGUUAGUUAAAAUGGCCUCUGAGAAUGGGACCAGUGUAACAAAAAGACAACAGUUAGGACAGGAACAGUAAAUCACACUUGAAAGAGUUUACAGCAGUGUAUCUGGGAGGGAGGACGGCGGGCAUCACAAUCGACAUAAACAUCGACUUAAAAGUAAA